GAUGAACGCUGGCGGCGUGCCUAAUACAUGCAAGUCGAGCGAACAGACGAGGAGCUUGCUCCUCUGACGUUAGCGGCGGACGGGUGAGUAACACGUGGAUAACCUACCUAUAAGACUGGGAUAACUUCGGGAAACCGGAGCUAAUACCGGAUAAUAUAUUGAACCGCAUGGUUCAAUAGUGAAAGACGGUUUUGCUGUCACUUAUAGAUGGAUCCGCGCCGCAUUAGCUAGUUGGUAAGGUAACGGCUUACCAAGGCGACGAUGCGUAGCCGACGUGAGAGGGUGAUCGGCCACCCGGGAAGUGAGACACGGUCCAGACGCCUACGGGAGGGAGCAGUAGGGAAUCUGCCGCAAUGGGCGAAAGCCUGACGGAGCAACGCCGCGUGAGUGAUGAAGGUCUUCGGAUCGUAAAACUCUGUUAUUAGUGAAGAACAAAUGUGUAAGUAACUAUGCACGUCUUGACGGUACCUGAUCAGAAAGCCACGGCUAACUACGUG
rnacentral:rRNA from 1 species